rnacentral:rRNA from 1 species
UGGGGAAUAUUGGACAAUGGGCGAAAGCCUGAUCCAGCCAUGCCGCGUGAGUGAUGAAGGCCCUAGGGUUGUAAACCGCUUUUCUCAGGGAAGAAGCUCUGACGGUACCUGAGGAAUCAGCCUCGGCUAACUCCGUGCCAGCAGCCGCGGUAAUACGGAGGAGGCAAGCGUUAUCCGGAAUCAUUGGGCGUAAAGCGUUCGCAGGCGGCGAUUCAAGUCUGCUGUCAAAGCCCGCAGCUCAACUGCGGACAGGCAGUGGAAACUGAAUCGCUAGAGUGCGGCAGGGGUAGAUGGAAUUCCCGGUGUAGCGGUGAAAUGCGUAGAUAUCGGGAAGAACACCAGUGUCGAAAGCGCUCUACUGGGCCGCAACUGACGCUCAGGGACGAAAGCUAGGGGAGCGAAAGGGAUUAGAUACCCGGGUAGUCC